AAUCAACACUGGCGGCGUGCCUAACACAUGCAAGUCGAACGAGAAAGAGGGGGCAACUCCUCGAGUAAAGUGGCGACCGGGUGAGUAACACGUGACUAACCUACCCUUGAGUGGGGAAUAACCUUCCGAAAGGAGGGCUAAUACCGCAUAACAUCGCGAGGCGAGAGUCCUUGUGAUCAAAGGAGCAAUUCGCUUAAGGAGGGGGUCGCGGCUGAUUAGCUAGUUGGUGAGGUAACGGCUCACCAAGGCGAUGAUCAGUAUCCGGCCUGAGAGGGCGCACGGACACACUGGAACUGAAACACGGUCCAGACUCCUACGGGAGGCAGCAGUGGGGAACUUUGCGCAAUGGGGGAAACCCUGACACAGCAACGCCGCGUGGAGGAUGAAAGUCUUUGGAUUGUAAACUCCUUUCGAUCGGGACGAUUAUGACGGUACCGGAAGAAGAAGCACCGGCUAACUCUGUGCCAGCCGCCGCAGUAACAC
rnacentral:rRNA from 1 species